CAAUGCAGUCCAAACUAGGAUGAUCUUUAGGCGUAGCAACAAUAUUCACAGUUCUUGCUAUAUGCAGGGGAUUGGGAAACAAAACCUGUAAAACACUCUUCACUGUGCUCAGAGGCUCCUUCUUUAAAGUUAGCUUCAGUCAACAUGUCUCACACAGGAAUCGAUCAUUGAAACUCAUUUCGGCAUGUCCAGACCUAGGAGAUCAAGGACUUCCAAUCGCAAAGCUCACACAUUCCUUAUCUUGUCCUGGCGUACCAACAGAGUUUCAAGAACCGGUCUGCAUUCAUAGAUUGACUAGAUAAGAUAAGAAUGGAUAAAGAGAUACAUCUUGGUCCAUAGUGGAGUCUCCAAGACAAGUCAAGCGACAGACAAGAAGACAUUUUCCGUCACUGGAGUCUGAUGACAAUUCUGUUGUAACAUUGUAAGUUAUGGGAACUUCACCAAGUUCUCAUGUAGGAAUCAGUAGUGUAAGCUUCCUCGAUUUAGUUGAAAGAGAGAUGAUUGAAAGGAAUACCAGAAAAACGACUCAUACACUCAUACCUGUAUAGAUCCACUCAGAACUUCGGUUUCACCGCACUUCCCAUGGCUUCUUCUUGAUUUUCGUUGGCCCUGGGGUUAAAUCUUCGUCUCGAAUUGAUGAAAUACUUCUAAAUGAGCAAAGAAGAUGACAGUUUCGACGGCUAAUAAUUAAAUAAA